UCCGGCAUGGUGUAAUAGUUAGCAUUUCCGUCUCCCAUUACUCAUAUUCAUACCUUAUACAUGGUGAAUGUUGACCUUUAGAAAGGUUUCGGAAGGUCGGGGUUCAAUUCCUCGUGCCGGAC